UGUUGUUAAUAUAUAAACAGCAGCUUUGGCAAUGACAGCAAUUCCAGUAGCUUCCAGCAACUUCCAGAGCUUAUUUGCAGUUAUUUUACAGUUGCAACGUACUUCUCUCAAGUGGACUUCUCUCCAAAGGAGUUACAACUAAUUUCUCUCAAGUUACUUGGCAAUGAAGUGUUUCAAAAUAGCUGUUUAAUUUAUGAACAAAAUUUAGCGCCAAUUCUGUUUUAAUAGUUAGUUAGAAUAGAAGAUUCUGGAUUAGUUAAAAGCUGUAUAAAUAGUAGAAGUUUAGAUUGACGGG
rnacentral:lncRNA from 1 species